rnacentral:rRNA from 1 species
UACGGAGGAUCCAAGCGUUAUCCGGAUUUAUUGGGUUUAAAGGGUGCGUAGGCGGCCUAUUAAGUCAGGGGUGAAAGACGGUAGCUUAACUAUCGCAGUGCCUUUGAUACUGAUGGGCUUGAAUGUACUUGAGGUAGGCGGAAUGUGACAAGUAGCGGUGAAAUGCAUAGAUAUGUCACAGAACACCAAUUGCGAAAGCAGCUUACUAAAGUAUGAUUGACGCUGAGGCACGAAAGCGUGGGGAUCAAACAGG